UACAGAGGUCUCAAGCGUUGUUCGGAUUCAUUGGGCGUAAAGGGUGCGUAGGCGGUUUGGUAAGUCGGAUGUGAAAUCUCCAGGCUCAACCUGGAGGGGUCAUUCGAUACUGCCAUGACUAGAGUUCGGUAGGGGUGUGUGGAAUUCCUGGUGGAGCGGUGAAAUGCGCAGAUAUCAGGAGGAACACCCGUAGCGAAGGCGGCACACUGGGCCGAUACUGACGCUGAGGAGCGAAAGCGUGGGGAGCGAACAGG
rnacentral:rRNA from 1 species